rnacentral:rRNA from 1 species
GAUGAACGCUGGCGGUGUGCCUAAUACAUGCAAGUCGAGCGAAGCGGGGACGGGUGAGUAACACGUGGAUAACCUCCUAUAAGACUGGGAUAACUUCGGGAAAACGGAGCUAAACAGGAUACUUCUAGAUGGAUCAGCGCUGCAUUAGCUAGUUGGUAAGGUAACGGCUUACCAAGGCAAAGAUGCAUAUGCGACCUGAGAGGGUGUGCUGCCACCAUGGAACUUACACACGGUCCUGACUCCUCCGGGAGGCAGCAGUAGGUAAUCUUCCGCAAUGGGCGAAAGCCUUACGGAGCAACGCCGCGUGAGUGAUUAAGGUCUUCGGAUCGUAAAACUCUGUUAUUAGGGAAGCGGUACCUAAUCAGAAAGCCACGGCUAACUACGUGCCAGCAGCCGCGGUAAUAC